rnacentral:lncRNA from 1 species
CUCGCUGGCUCAGGAGUGAAGCUGUAGACCUUCGCGGUAAAUAGGUUCAUCACUGUGAAGAUUUCUGGACAUUCUGCCACCACCUUGGUCUACAAGUGGCAUUCCCAAAGCCUGAAGCUAUCUUUGGCACCUGUAAAACGCCAGCCUUUCCCUCCAUGCCUACCCAAAGUGGAAUGGAACCGCAGCACAUUUGCAAAAUAACCAAGUUUCCACAAAUAGUACCCAGGAAAGAGAACGCCUCAUCAGCAAAAGUUUCUCUGAAACAAGGUGCAAAGGAGAAAGGCGAGGAUAAGGAGUACCUUCAAUGCCGAAAUACCUUCCUAGAACAAAAGGGUGUCUUGAAGCCUUUGCCUCUUUGUCACAUCCGGAAGGCCCCAGCCGGCAAUCAGAC